UGCCUUACAUGUCGGAACUUGCANAGAUGCANGGUGCUUCGGAACCGAACACAGUGCUGCAUGCUCGUCAGCCGUGCGUAGAUGUUGGUUAAGUCCCGCACGAGGCAACCCUUGUCCUUAGUUGCCAGCACGUAAAGGUGGAACUCUAAGAGACUGCCGGUGACAAACCGGAGGAAGGUGGGGAUGACGUCAAGUCCUCAUGCCCUUACGCCAGGGCUACACACGUACUACAAUGGUCGGUACAGAGGGUUGCAAUACCGCGAGGUGGAGCCAAUCCCAGAAAGCCGAUCCCAGUCCGGAUUGGAGUCUGCAACUCGACUCCAUGAAGUCGGAAUCGCUAGUAAUCGCAGAUCAGCAAUGCUGCGGUGAAUACGUUCCCGGGCCUUGUACACACCGCCCGUCACACCAUGGGAGUGGGCUGCUCCAGAAGCCGUUAGCCUAACCGCAAGGAGGGCGACGACCACGGAGUGGUUCAUGACUGGGGUG
rnacentral:rRNA from 1 species